rnacentral:hammerhead_ribozyme from 1 species
AUCCAGAUGACGAAUCCCAAAUAGGAGGAAAUGCGCAUCGUGGAU